UACAGAGGUCCCAAGCGUUGUUCGGAUUCAUUGGGCGUAAAGGGUGCGUAGGUGGCGCCGUAAGUCGGGUGUGAAAUUUCGGAGCUUAACUCCGAAACUGCAUUCGAUACUGCGGUGCUUGAGGACUGGAGAGGAGACUGGAAUUCAUGGUGUAGCAGUGAAAUGCGUAGAGAUCAUGAGGAAGACCAGUGGCGAAGGCGGGUCUCUGGGCCGAUGACUGACGCUGGAGGAGCGAAAGCGUGGGGAGCGAACAGG
rnacentral:rRNA from 1 species